CUCAAUGGGGAAUUCUUGUUCGCCCCUGUGACGAGAGAGUAUUCUGUAAAGAUGUUUCUGGAAGGAAUUGAAUACGAGGAGAAACUUGUUUUAUUUUAUAUGUUUUGAUUGUACUGCGCAAGCGCAGUUUGUGUAUUGGACGGAUUUAUAGUAAAACGUUUAUGUUAGUAUAUAGUUGGAAUCCGUAAAGUGUGCUAAUAUUUCGUGCUGAAAACCCUGCGAAUGACUGUGACUGAAGCUGCUAAUCCGAAAUAAAGUUCAAACCCUAUCCUGUGUAUUUAUUCAACAUGAGGAGGAUUGAGCAACGGAGUGCUUACGGUUCGGUUCAAAGGAGUUCAACUCGGCAUAUCUGGAAAUCUAACUUAGGAAACAAAGCUGCUUGAAGACAUUGGUCUUUCUACCAUAUCCUGUGGUUUGGCCUGUUUUACAACUAGUUUCUUCAUUAUUACUUGUUUUACUCAGUGUUAUUCUGCAUCAUAUACAGGGUGAACUUUUAUUUAGUUUUUAUUGUUUAUUCAUUUGAUACUGUGAGCCAGCCUAGCUUGAAACCUAGGAAACCACAUUGUGAAAUGGAAGAAAAGGUUUCCAUUAUAAAGUGUAGUCCGGGAAACCCUAGUUUGUUAACAUCUAAACAUGAAACCUGGCUAAACUUACAGGAUCAAGAAACCCGUGCUUGUACUGCAACAUUCUUCUACUAUCUUCUUGAACCUAAUACAACAUUUGCGAUUUCCGUAGUGGAAUCUAUGGGGGGGGGGGGCAUAGCUUGGAUAUUUAGCUCUAGCUAUUAAACUUAAUGCAAUAAUCGGUCUUAGCGUGAUAAUAGUUUCUAACAAACUCCAAGUACCUUCUUUGUGAGUUGAUAAGCAUACGUAAAACACUUGGUAAAUUACGAUUUUGUAUAAAGUCUGAAAAAUGUUUUUCUAAUUCAAUUUUUCUUUUAAAUAUGUAUAUUUUUCUUCUACUUUU